GUUUCAAAUAUGUCAUUUUGUUUAGGAUUAUUGGUGUUUGUUACAGAUCUACAAUAACCCGAUCCUGACAAAUAAAUAUUCAUACUUCCAUUCAUUUCAUACACUCGUCGCGAUAUCUCGGAAUAGAAUCUCUUCCCAUUUCGUCUUCGUCUUCUUCUUUCUCUCUGAAGGUUUUGCUAUUCUUACUCAUCAAUGGCUUCCCCUCAUUCCUCAACUGAAAGAGGUAAAAGAUUGGUUGAUGUUGAUGUACUCUGUUAAUUCAUAUAUUAUUUGCUGUGUAGUGCAAACUUGGACCUCCUUCUAAGAAAGGUGCGGCUUCCAAGCAAGGAACUGCUUCUUUUGCUGAGAAGAAGAAGAAGAAUUUGUCUGAUAAAUUGGGACCUCAGUGGAGCAAUAGGGAACUAGAGAACUUCUAUGAAGUAUACGGAGAGCAUGGUAGAGAUUGGAAAAAAGGUGGCUACCACUAUACGUAAAAGAUCUAUUGAAAUGGUGGAAGCUCUUUACUAUUUGAAUCAGGGGACAGCGCGUCUGUUGUAGGCUUCAUUGCUUUGAUGAAACAUCAUUAUAAUGUAAGGUCAACAGCGUCUGAGGGGACAGUGGUCAAAAAUAAUUAACCACUAUCAUCAUGUUUUUAUAAUUUCUUGCAAACUUUUUGUAGUCUUCAAAAGCAUCUGAUGGAGCCCCUCCGUCCCAUCACAAGUUCUUCUAACUAAUCCAUCUCAAGAAGCUCCUGAACUGCAGAUGGACAUUGUUGUUCCAGAGGCUGAUAAAAAGCCAGUCAGAGGCAUUGUUGUUCCAGAGGCUGAUAAAAAGCCAGUCAGAGGCCUCAAAUCUAGCGAGAUUUGGGAUGAAGAAGAAAAGAAUAUUGUGGAUUCUUUUCUUGGCAAAGCUAUAGAUGAACAAAAGGAAUGGGAAGAAUUUGAUCUUACAUAAUUGAAGGAGUCCGAGGGGCUUAUAGGAAGGGACUACAAUGCCAUUUCAGAUUAUGUUGUAAAAAGUUCAAGAGAAUGGAUGCUCAAAAGGGGAAAGGGGCUGCUGCUAAUGUGUCUGAUGGCGUAAAACGGAAAGGGGCUGCUGCUAAGAGGAUAGGUGAUUUUGAAUUGUUGAUUUAAGUGGUGAAAAAAGCUAGUUUUGAUGGUACCAUGGCAGCGGUUAACUCCGAUGCCUUCAAGAUAAAAAUGAAGGAGUGUUUUCUUGAAUCUCGUGCUGAUUUGAAGAUAGUUGAAAAAGGUGCUGCUGAUGCAACCUUGUUUGUUGCUCUGCAGAAUUAGGUAAAAAGUUUUGUUUUUGAUACUAUUGCAAACUCAAAGGUUACUCAAUUCAAAGAGGCCGAAGAAAAUUCUGAUGGGGAGAAGGAUGAUUCCGUGAAGAAGGAUGCUAAAGUUGAUGAGUAGUUGUAUUGGCUACCUUAUAUUUUUUAUUAAAACUAGUUGUUGAUGGGUUGAUUCCCUUUAUCUUGCUGUCACUGGUUGAAUUGAUUUGCUGAGAAUUUUCAUACCCUUUGUUUUGUUUGAUCUGGUACUAUUGACUACCUUAUAUUUUUUUAUUUAAGACAAAUUGUCGAUGGGUUGAUUCCCUUUAUCUUGCUGUCUUUAGUGUAAUUGAUUUGCUGACUA